rnacentral:rRNA from 1 species
UACGUAGGGUGCAGGCGUUAAUCGGAAUUACUGGGCGUAAAGCGUGCGCAGGCGGCUCCUUAAGUCAGAUGUGAAAGCCCCGGGCUUAACCUGGGAACUGCGUUUGAAACUGGGGGGCUAGAGUGUGGAAGAGGGGGGUGGAAUUCCAGGUGUAGCAGUGAAAUGCGUAGAGAUGUGGAGGAACACCGAUGGCGAAGGCAGCCUCCUGGGCCAGCACUGACGCUCAUGCACGAAAGCGUGGGGAGCAAACAGG